GAGGGUAUAGCUCAGUGGUAGAGUGCACGCUUAGUAUGCAUGAGGUCAUGGGUUCAAUCCCCAGGACCUCCG
rnacentral:tRNA from 1 species